rnacentral:rRNA from 1 species
UACGGGGGGGGCAAGCGUUGUUCGGAAUUACUGGGCGUAAAGGGCUCGUAGGCGGCCAACUAAGUCAGACGUGAAAUCCCUCGGCUUAACCGGGGAACUGCGUCUGAUACUGGAUGGCUUGAGUUCGGGAGAGGGAUGCGGAAUUCCUGGUGUAGCGGUGAAAUGCGCAGAUAUCAGGAGGAACACCGGUGGCGAAGGCGGAUCUCUGGGCCUUACCUGACGCUCAGGCACGAAAGCUAGGGGAGCGAACAGG